ACAACGGAGAGUUUGAUCCUGGCUCAGGAUGAACGCUAGCGGCAGGCUUAACACAUGCAAGUCGG
rnacentral:rRNA from 1 species